rfam:Cavia porcellus strain inbred line 2N cont2.12887, whole genome shotgun sequence.
CCACAUGGCAUUGGAUCCAGAGUGUGUCCCCAGACAUUGUACCUGGCGCUGUUAGCUGGAAUUAAAGUACGUU